GACAGCGUGGCCCAGUGGGUUGAGCGUAGCAGACUGUGGCUCUAGAGAGCAGGGUUCGAAUCCCGUCUCGGCCU